ncrna:unclassified sequences chromate-resist RNA
CGGGGAUCAAGCCGCCUCCCCGUCAGAUGACAUCCAUCCAAGCGCUGC